GUGAAAGGUGACAGAGCUAGAGCGGUGUUUGUCAGACCAUGAGACAUCCCGAAAAUCGGUCUUCUCUGGAAAACAUAUUUUUCUUCCGAACAGUUUGACCUACUCCGAACGGUUUGACCUUCAAACUAAUGGGACCCCACUGUGGAAAGGGGAGAUUCCGUUUUGCUCUACAACCCCCACAAGUGUCACUGGACACGUCUGAAGGGGUGGCAGGUGGUUAGAGCAUUGGGCCAGUAACUGAAAGGUUCCUGGAUCAUAUCCCCAAGCUUUGGAGGUUAGACUGAGCGUCAGUGAGAGCCAGGAGGAGGAGCCGAAGACAGAGAAUGCAGCAGCUAAGUUGGCGUUCUCCGCUGAUUUGGGCUCAGGAGACGUUGGACCCUACAAUGGCGAAUUCUCGUGGAAGUUCAGCAGAGUCCUCAUCAACGUCGGCAAGGCUUACAGCCCUUUUACAGGCACAGUUCUCGUUACAUCUGUCUAGCUAUCCAGUCUGCCAAGGUUGGGAGUCAGUUCCAAUUUCGAUUUAGUUAAUUUGGAAAUAGUAAAUAGAAAUUCCAAUUCAGUUUACUUCCUGAAUUGACUGAAUUGAUAUGGAAUUGACUCCAACAUAUCACAU
ensembl:lncRNA